CGAAAUGAAUUAAUAUAUAAAUUAGUAUUACUUGCCAGUAUAUAUAAAAUAAAGACAGAGUGGUAAUUACACAGGAAGGACAGAGGGACACAAAGAGGGAAACAAGGACAGAGAGAGGAAAUGACCACGGCAGGUGGGUGUGGGGGGAAGAUGGGCAAGGCACAGCAGAGGGAUGGAGAAAGAGAGGGACGGGCAGCAGGGCAGAGGGUUAUAAAGAGAAGAGUGCAGUGAGGGAGAGGGACUGAGCAGCAGAUCCAGACAGGUACAGGCAAAAGGACAGUGAGAGGGACAUACAGUCACGGUGCAGGGCAAAGGAAUAAGGAGAGGAAGAAAAUGCGGGCAGGGAGGGAGACAGACAAAAAGGAGAGACAAUAGGGAGAGAGAUUGAGCAAUAUUUAUUAAAUAAAUAUUGAGUAUUUACUUAAAGAAAAACAAGAACGAGAGAGUGAAGUAGUGAAAGGGAAUGGGAUGGGGAACACACAGGACAAGAAAGGAACACAAAAGACACACCAGAGAGACAGAAGAAAAGUGGUGGAAAGUUGGAUGUAAGGCUGAAAGAAAAUCAAGAACAAACCCCAGGACUUAUUAGAGAGUAUGGCUGAUGAACAUGUAAUGUAAAUAAACCACCAGCUCAAACAGAACCAUUUACUGCCAUGGUUCGGCCUGGGACUCAACAUCUGCCUCUUGGUAGGGCCAUAAACCCCGAUAAAACAUGAGGUGAAAGCUGAUGGAUGAUGUGCACCAGGUUGGGUCCUGCUCAGCCCUAAUCCCAGCCUGUGCCACCUGUGAACACCCUGAUCUCCCAACCUUCUCUCAGGGAAAUUUCACCUUUAUCCUUUCUCUUCCCCUCCCAGUAUCUCACUGUGCUCUGAAUGAACGUGAUGAGAGGCUUCUCUGUUGCAGGUUCUUUGGAAAUCCUAUGGUGACUUUGAGACUGAGCAAGAGGGGCAUGAGAAAAGCAGGAACAUUUCCUGAUGGUUCCUGCAGCACACACAGCACGUCAAGCCAAGAAAACACCAUGGACAGGCAACAAUUCCAUUUGAACAGUCUCUGA
rnacentral:lncRNA from 1 species